UUGUAAAAAGCACACGGCCAGACUAGUAAUAAGCAUAAAGUCAAAAUUUUUAUACUUUCUAUACAGCUUAUAAUAAUAUACUAUUAAGAAUGGAAAACAAUUUUAGAUGGCGAAGCAAUUAUUUUGACUGGAUUUUCAUCAAUAUCUUCACAGUUUUUCACAGCACUGUCGUGACAAUUUGGGAAAAACUAAGGAACUAAGACUGGAUUUUCAGCUUUUCAGCUUUUCAACAUUUCCAGAAUUAUGGAUGGGAAUAAAGGAAACGAAUCUAUACACUAAAAAAAAAAUGUAUACACUAUAUACUGUAUCUUGCUCUCUCAAGAUGCGUUCGGCGGCUUGCUUGAUAUAUUUAUUUGUAUUUUUGAGGCUGUUGCACGCAAAGAAUCCAAUUGGAAGUGGUUGAGGACUAUUCAAUUCAAAGCAAUUCAAUUUAUAUAUUUUUUAACUAUUGUAUAACGUGAAAAAAAUGUAAAAAACUUAAAAAAAUGCGUUAUAUAAAAGCCACACUGUGGCGG